rnacentral:rRNA from 2 species
AGGAAGGACAAGUCGUAACAAGGUUUCCGUAGGUGAAUCUGUGGAAGGAUCAUUG